rnacentral:rRNA from 1 species
GAUCCUGGUUCGGGACGAACGCUGGCGGCGUGCUUAACACAUGCAAGUCGAACGAAGAGCGAUGGAAGCUUGCUUCUAUCAAUCUUAGUGGCGAACGGGUGAGUAACGCGUAAUCAACCUGCCCUUCAGAGGGGGACGAACAGUUGGAAACGACUGCUAAUACCGCAUACUAUCCAAUCUCGGCAUCGAGGAUGGAUGAAAGGUGGCCUCUAUUUAUAAGCUAUCACUGAAGGAGGGGAUUG